rnacentral:rRNA from 1 species
UACGUAGGGUGCAAGCGUUAUCCGGAAUUAUUGGGCGUAAAGAGCUCGUAGGCGGUUUGUCGCGUCUGCUGUGAAAACUGGGGGCUCAACCCCCAGCCUGCAGUGGGUACGGGCAGACUAGAGUGCGGUAGGGGAGAUUGGAAUUCCUGGUGUAGCGGUGGAAUGCGCAGAUAUCAGGAGGAACACCGGUGGCGAAGGCGGAUCUCUGGGCCAUUACUGACGCUGAGGUGCGAAAGCGUGGGGAGCAAACAGG